CAGGUCCCAACUCUGUACCAGAAACAUCAGAUCCUGUCCCGUUGAUAAAGCAAGUCGUGCCAUAACUGUUACAUAUGCUACCCUGAUCCUCAGCAAGAACGUCAGGAUGGGGACAAGCAGGAGAGACAGGAAGCAGAGCUCCUGCUGCCUAAGAGGACAGGAUGUGCCGGGAAUAUAUCAGAGCUGCCAAGGACACGGGCCCUCUGGGCACACGAGCUGACCCUGAGGGCCCAAGUAAGGUCUUGGCAGAACCUCAAGGCAAGAACACACUGGACGUCCAGACAAGAAAGAAAACCUGUGU
rnacentral:lncRNA from 1 species